AGGUGCGUGAUGACGGAAGGGGGGAGCGUUUCCGGAAGCGCUGCCCGGACUGGCUUGUGCAGGACUUCAGGCGCUUCCGCCUCGAGUCGGCACAAUGAAGAGGGAGCAAUAACCGGAAGAGCCGAGGCCAGUAGCCUGGAACAAUUGUGGAGCUCCAUAUCACUGUGUAAGUAUGGAUUUAGUAGCAGUACACCCAUCUAAGUAUUAACCUAAUUUAUUAUGUCUUAAUUUCAAGUGCAACAUCUGUGUGGUUCAGACCACUUAAUUUGAAAAUAACCUAUUCUUAUUUAUACAAAAUUUCAUAAAAUAUGUGCAGGAGAGAAUUCAAGACUUUGUGUCAGAUGUACAAAGGUAUUUAGGUACCUAAAGAUGCAGGUCUAGGGCCUAGUAGGAUAUAUGAAAGCACUUCAGCAGGUUAGUUACUGAAGUCCCAAUUAGGAAGUUAACUCAGGGUACAUCUGCACUGUGAUAAAAGACCCACAGUAUGGCCACAGCUGCUCUUGCAGCUCAGCCUGCAAGGGUCUGAAAUUGCAGUGUACACAAGCGGGAGGAGGGGCCUCAGAGCUCAGGUUCCAGCCUGGACAUCUAUACUGAAGUGUAUAGCCCUGCAGCCCAAACUCUGCAAGCCUGAGUUAGCUGCCCUAGGUUCUGUGAGUGAGUUAGUUUUUUUUUUUAUUGCAGUGUAGACAUGACAUUAGGUGCCUCACUGGAUUUUUCAAAAGUGCCUGUCUGCAUCUUUAGGUGUCUAUAUAUACCUUUGUACAUCUAGCCUUUUCUUCCUCUACGUGUGUGCUGCUAUAUCUAAACCUAAUAGCUUUCAGAUGGAUGACAUGUUUUGUUUACUCAUGUCUGGGUUUAGCCCUUCAAAAUGUUGUCUUAAAUUUGAGUUACAACUUCCGGGGGGUGGGGGAAGGAGAAGGAGGGAUGAUGAUGGCAGGCACAGUUCAGUUUCAAAUUAACUUAGUAGUAUUGCUUUGAUACAGAAUAAAGAAAUACAGUAAAAAGAAAAUGCAAAUGCUUGACAUUUAGUGAUAUAGAUCUUAUUUGUGGAUUAUCACCAAAAGCAA
rnacentral:lncRNA from 1 species